UACGUAGGGGGCAAGCGUUGUCCGGAAUUACUGGGCGUAAAGGGCGCGUAGGCGGCCAACUAAGUCAUACGUGAAAUCCCUCAGCUUAACUGGGGAACUGCGUCUGAUACUGGAUGGCUGGAGAUUGGGAGAGGGAUGCGGAAUUCCAGGUGUAGCGGUGAAAUGCGUAGAUAUCUGGAGGAACACCGGUGGCGAAGGCGGCAUCCUGGACCAACACUGACGCUGAGGAGCGAAAGCCAGGGGAGCAAACGGG
rnacentral:rRNA from 1 species